rnacentral:rRNA from 1 species
UACGGGGGGAGCAAGCGUUGUUCGGAUUUACUGGGCGUAAAGGGCGCGUAGGCGGCCACCGCAAGUCGACUGUGAAAUCUCCGGGCUUAACCCGGAAAGGUCAGCCGAUACUGCGGGGCUAGAGUGCAGAAGGGGCAACUGGAAUUCUCGGUGUAGCGGUGAAAUGCGUAGAUAUCGAGAGGAACACCUGCGGCGAAGGCGGGUUGCUGGGCUGACACUGACGCUGAGGCGCGAGAGCUAGGGGAGCGAACGGG